rnacentral:tRNA from 1 species
GGGGCUGUAGCUCAGUGGCAGAGCACUUGCCUAGCAUGUGAGAGGCACUAGGUUCGAUCUUUAGCACCACA